UAGGGAAUCUUCGGCAAUGGACGAAAGUCUGACCGAGCAACGCCGCGUGAGUGAAGAAGGUUUUCGGAUCGUAAAACUCUGUUGGUAGAGAAGAACGUUGGUGAGAGUGGAAAGCUCAUCAAGUGACGGUAACUACCCAGAAAGGGACGGCUAACUACGUGCCAGCAGCCGCGGUAAUACGUAGGUCCCGAGCGUUGUCCGGAUUUAUUGGGCGUAAAGCGAGCGCAGGUGGUUUAUUAAGUCUGGUGUAAAAGGCAGUGGCUCAACCACUGUAUGCAUUGGAAACUGGUAGACUUGAGUGCAGGGGGAGGAGAGUGGAAUUCCAUGUGUAGCGGUGAAAUGCGUAGAUAUAUGGAGGAACACCGGUGGCGAAAGCGGCUCUCUGGCCUGUAACUGACACUGAGGCUCGAAAGCGUGGGGAGCAAACAGGAUUAG
rnacentral:rRNA from 1 species